UGAUUUUGCAGAUUAUGUAAGCAACAAAAACCCUUCAUUAUUUUUAUUAUAGCCAUGCUGAGCAUGAAUUAAUAUUCAGAUGUACUCGUUGUAUGAAAAUAAUGCUGUUUUUUUUUUAGCGGAUGACUUCUUAAAUCUAACAGUCGAAUGUUCACUGGAAAUUAAUGAGCACCUGGAGAGAGAGUUGGGAGGUGAUUAUUAAGAGAUUGGACUUUGCCUGUGACUGGUGCUGUGAGCCAGCUAGAUGACGAGGUGGUCCUGCAGUGCACCGCUACCAUCCACAAGGAACAACAGAAACUGUGUUUGGCCGCAGAACGGUUUGGCAACCGACUCUGUUUCUUGGAGUCCACUUCGAAUUCCAAGAUACACGGAAGAGGAUUUGAAAAUGUGCUUACUAUUCAUGAAGCAAAUUUCUGAUUGAGCCCCAGCUUUUUGCAAGCAAGUCAGGUGAGGUUGUUGACAAGAAUGAGACUGAGCCCUCGCCCCCAUGGUGUUUACAUUCUAGUGGAAAAGUAAACAAGUACAUAAGUGGUGUAAUUUCAGAACUAGGGGCUAUGGGGAAAGCAGAAUAAUGGGGAUAGAGUGAUGGGGAAAGGACUCACCCUUUCAUGAAGGGUAUUUGGGGAAGGCAUUCUGAGGCAGUGACACGUGAGCAACCUGGAAUGAAGUGAGAGAGAGUUAGCUGUCCCGAGUACUCUGGAACAUUCCAGAAAGAGGAACCAUGUAGUGCCCGGGCCCCUAGUUAGGAAGAGGAGGUCUCAACCAGAACUGGUCACCCACAGCCAGGAGUUGAGGUUUCUUUCUAGGAUGAAGGGAGGCCAUUGGAACCAGUGAGUGGUGUCAUUUGAUUUAGACAUUGCAAAGAUCAUCUUGGCUCUUAAUGUGACUGGAGGAUGUAGAGAGAGCAAGUGUGGAAGCAGGGAGAUGGAAAUCUGGCUGGGAGCUGCUGGUUCUUCGGACUGCAGUGAU